GAGUUAGUGAUGAUUAUAAAAAAAAUUUCUCGUUUUAACUUACUUAAUUAGGGCAUGAUAAAUCUCUUCUUACAUCCAUAGAAUCUUAGCUAC
rnacentral:snoRNA from 1 species